CGGAGGGUCAUUAAAGAGUUCUACUCUCCCGACCAUCUCGAACUGCCCGAGGAAAUGACUCGUUGCCUCGGCGGGAGGCCCCUGGGAGGGGCCGCUGCCCGCGAGGGCGCCCGCCGGAGACGACGCAUACUCUUGCUUUACAGGCCUCUCUGAGCGAAAACACAAUAGUUAAAACUUUCAACAACGGAUCUCUUGGCUCUGGCAUCGAUGAAGAACGCAGCGAAAUGCGAUAAGUAAUGUGAAUUGCAGAAUUCAGUGAAUCAUCGAAUCUUUGAACGCACAUUGCGCCCGCUAGUAUUCUGGCGGGCAUGCCUGUUCGAGCGUCAUUUCAACCCUCAGGCCCCGCCUGGUGUUGGGGACCCCGCGGCCGCCGCGGGCCCCGAAAAUCAGUGGCGUGCUCGCCGCGAGCCCGAGCGUAGUAAUUCAUCCUCGCUCCGGGACCGCGACGGGCGCCCGCCGUGAAACACCCCACUUAUUCAGGUUGACCUCGGAUCAGGUAGGAAUACCCGCUGAACUUAAGCAUAUCAUUAAGCGGAGGAAAAGAAACCAACAGGGAUUGCCUCAGUAACGGCGAGUGAAGCGGCAACAGCUCAAAUUUGAAAUCCGGCCCUCGGGCCCGAGUUGUAAUUUGCAGAGGAUGCUUUUGGCGCGGUGCCUUCCGAGUCCCCUGGAACGGGGCGCCGGAGAGGGUGAGAGCCCCGUACGGUCGGACGCCUAGCCUGUGUAAAGCUCCUUCGACGAGUCGAGUAGUUUGGGAAUGCUGCUCAAAAUGGGAGGUAAAUUUCUUCUAAAGCUAAAUACCGGC
rnacentral:rRNA from 1 species